AUUGAACGCUGGCGGCAGGCCUAACACAUGCAAGUCGAACGAGUGGCGGACGGGUGAGUAAUGACUGGGAAACUGCCUGAUGGAGGGGGCUAACUACUGGAAACGGUAGCUAAUACCGCAUACCAUCGGAUGUGCCCAGAUGGGCUUGGGUAGUAGGGGGGGUAACGGCUCACCGAGGCGCGGAUCCCUAGCUGGUCUGAGAGGAUGACCAGCCACACUGGAACUGAGCCACGGUCCAGCCUCCUACGGGAGGCAGCAGUGGGGACUAUUGCACAAUGGGCGCAAGCCUGAUGCAGCCAUGCCGCGUGUGUGAAGAAGGCCUUCGGGUUGUAAAGUACUUUCAGCGGGGAGGCGUUACCCGCAGAAGAAGCACCGGCUAAAUCCGUGCCAGCAGCCGCGGUAAUUC
rnacentral:rRNA from 1 species